UAUCAGCUGGGAGAGCGCUUGCAUGGCAUGCAAGAGGUCAGCGGUUCGAUCCCGCUUAGCUCCACCA
rnacentral:tRNA from 1 species